CCUACGGGAGGCAGCAGUAGGGAAUCUUCCACAAUGGACGAAAGCCUGACGCAGCGACGCCGCGUGAGGGAUGAAGGGCUUCGGCUCGUAAACCUCUGUUGGCAGGGAAGAACGAUCGCUGUACUAAUCAGCCUUUAUUUGACGGUACCUACUUAGAAAGCACCGGCUAACUCCGUGCCAGCAGCCGCGGUAAUACGGAGGUUGCGAGCGUUGAUCGGAUUUACUGGGCGUAAAGCGCUCGUAGGCGGUAUGUCAAGUCAAGGGUGAAAGCCUCGGGCUCAACGUGGGAAUUGCAUAAGAAACUGGUGAACUGGAGUGUGGGAGAGGAGAGUGGAAUUCCAGGUGUAGGAGUGGAAUGCGUAGAUAUAUGGAGGAACACCAGUGGCGAAGGCGACUAUCUGGCCCAUAACUGACGCUGAGGAGCGAAAGCAUGGGUAGCGAACAGGAUUAGAUACCCCUGUAGUC
rnacentral:rRNA from 1 species